rnacentral:tRNA from 1 species
GCAGUCGUGGCCGAGUGGUUAAGGCGUUAGACUUGAAAUCUAAUGGGGKCUCCCCGCGCAGGUUCGAACCCUGCCGACUGUG